rfam:Drosophila melanogaster chromosome 2L.
GGCCGUGUAGCCUAAUGGAUAAGGCGUCGGAUUUCUGAUCCGAAAAUUGCGGGUUCAAGUCCCGUCAUGGUCG